rnacentral:rRNA from 1 species
UACGGAGGGGGCUAGCGUUGUCCGGAAUUACUGGGCGUAAAGCGUGCGCAGGCGGCUUUGCAAGACAGAUGUGAAAUCCCCGGGCUUAACCUGGGAACUGCAUUUGUGACUGCAUGGCUGGAGUGCGGCAGAGGGGGAUGGAAUUCCGCGUGUAGCAGUGAAAUGCGUAGAUAUGCGGAGGAACGCCGAUGGCGAAGGCAAUCCCCUGGGCCUGCACUGACGCUCAUGCACGAAAGCGUGGGGAGCAAACAGG